rnacentral:rRNA from 1 species
CAGUAGCCGCGUUAAAACGGAGGGUGCAAGCGUUAUCCGGAUUUAUUGGGUUUAAAGGGUCCGUAGGCGGACUUAUAAGUCAGUGGUGAAAGCCUGUCGCUUAACGAUAGAACUGCCAUUGAUACUGUAAGUCUUGAGUAUAUUUGAGGUAGCUGGAAUAAGUAGUGUAGCGGUGAAAUGCAUAGAUAUUACUUAGAACACCAAUUGCGAAGGCAGGUUACCAAGAUAUAACUGACGCUGAGGGACGAAAGCGUGGGUAGCGAACAGGAUUAGAUACCCCAGUAGUCCCUGUCUCUUAUAC